rnacentral:rRNA from 1 species
AUGGCUCAGAUUGAACGCUGGCGGCAGGCCUAACACAUGCAAGUCGAGCGGAUGACGGGAGCUUGCUCCUUGAUUCAGCGGCGGACGGGUGAGUAAUGCCUAGGAAUCUGCCUGGUAGUGGGGGACAACGUUUCGAAAGGAACGCUAAUACCGCAUACGUCCUACGGGAGAAAGCAGGGGACCUUCGGGCCUUGCGCUAUCAGAUGAGCCUAGGUCGGAUUAGCUAGUUGGUGGGGUAAUGGCUCACCAAGGCGACGAUCCGUAACUGGUCUGAGAGGAUGAUCAGUCACACUGGAACUGAGACACGGUCCAGACUCCUACGGGAGGCAGCAGUGGGGAAUAUUGGACAAUGGGCGAAAGCCUGAUCCAGCCAUGCCGCGUGUGUGAAGAAGGUCUUCGGAUUGUAAAGCACUUUAAGUUGGGAGGAAGGGCAGUAAGUUAAUACCUUGCUGUUUUGACGUUACCGACAGAAUAAGCACCGGCUAACUCUGUGCCAGCAGCCGCGGUAAUACAGAGGGUGCAAGCGUUAAUCGGAAUUACUGGGCGUAAAGCGCGCGUAGGUGGUUUGUUAAGUUGGAUGUGAAAGCCCCGGGCUCAACCUGGGAACUGCAUCCAAAACUGGCAAGCUAGAGUACGGUAGAGGGUGGUGGAAUUUCCUGUGUAGCGGUGAAAUGCGUAGAUAUAGGAAGGAACACCAGUGGCGAAGGCGACCACCUGGACUGAUACUGACA